rnacentral:rRNA from 1 species
UUAAGUCAGGCAACGAGCGAGACCCGUGCCCACUGUUACCAGCAUGUCCUCCGGGACGAUGGGUACACUGUGGGGACCGCUGAUGUCAAAUCAGAGGAAGGUGCGGGCUACGGUAGGUCAGUAUGCCCCGAAUCUCCCGGGCUACACGCGGGCUACAAUGGUCGGGACAAUGGGUCCCUUCCCCGAAAGGGGUUGGCAAUCUCACAAACCCGUCCUUAGUUCGGAUCGAGGGCUGUAACUCGCCCUCGUGAAGCUGGAAUCCGUAGUAAUCGCGUUUCAAUAUAGCGCGGUGAAUACGUCCCUGCUCCUUGCACA